rnacentral:lncRNA from 1 species
AAAAGACACACGUAAAAAUGGUAACAGUGGCAAGACUCACCUCAGGAGAAGAAGGCUCUUUUGUGCUUGCUUCUGCUGAAGCUCAUGGCCGUGUUUGGUCGACCGACUGCAGGCUUGCUGCAGACGCAAAGCAGGGACUUUGAAUGUCUGCUAAGCUGUUGCCCCUUCUCCUGAGGGGUGAAGCGUGAUUUAACGGGCAGCGGAGAGCUCUCUGCUACAGGCGAGGAAGGUGGAAGCGGACUCAGAGGAGUGUCGAAGAUCAUCUCAUAAUGGCGGAUCAAAAGCUCCACGAUCAAGGCCUGGUAGGGAUAGUCCACCAAAGAGGACAGAGACACCUCAGCAUCGGCCUGUCGGGGUUUGAUCAAUGUGGGACCGAAGAUGAUGCCCAAAUUACUGGAAGUCAUUUUGUUCUCAUCUGCCCUUUCUGACACUCUAUUUUAGAAAAGAAACGUGGUGUUGUUAGCAUUAAAAUUCUGAUUAAAACACACAUAUGCAAUAGGUUUCAUCUCUGUGUGGGAGUCAAAGACCUGUGCAAGUGCUGAAUGAGGAACUGCAGGGUCUUAUAAUGGGCUGGAGGAAGCUGGCGCAGCAGGUCUUUAAUCUUGAAGAGGACCCGAUUGAGCUCUACGCUGAUCUGUGGAGUGUCAGAGGUUGGACAUCCUCUCGAUGCCUCCACUUCAUCAACAAUGAUACUCUGACUCUCUUUAGCCAGUCCGAUGAAGUCGUUAUAGUAUCGGAAGAGAAUGAGAGGCUCUGGGAGCUGAGGGAAGUUAAAAAGAAAAAAACACAUGUAAAUAUAAAUUGUAUUAUUAAAAGAAAAUAAUAAAAAACAUUAUUAGAAUGGCUACACAUCAAAUCACCUGGCGUAAGUAGAGUUUGAGGACGUUGCUGAUAUCGUGAG